GGUGACCUCGAUCAGUAGAUCCCCGCUGAACUUAAGCAUAUCAAUAAAGCGGAAGAAAAGAAACCAACAGGGGUUGCCUCAGUAACGGCGAGUGAAGCGGCAACCGCUCAAAUUUGAAAUCUGGCCUCUUUGGGGUCCGAGUUGUAAUUUUGUAGAGGAUGUUUUCGGGUACCGCCUCGGUCUAAAUUUCUUGGAACAGAAUGUCAGAGAGGGUGAGAAUCCCGUCUUGGACCGGCGGUAGGGCCCAUGUGAAACUCCUUCGACGAGACGAGUGUUUGGGAAUGCAGA
rnacentral:rRNA from 1 species